UACGAAGGGGGCUAGCGUUGUUCGGAAUUACUGGGCGUAAAGCGUAUGCAGGCGGAUCGUUAAGUCGGGGGUGAAAUCCCGAGGCUCAACCUCGGAACUGCCUUUGAUACUGGCGAUCUCGAGUCCGGGAGAGGUGAGUGGAACUGCGAGUGUAGAGGUGAAAUUCGUAGAUAUUCGCAAGAACACCAGUGGCGAAGGCGGCUCACUGGCCCGGUACUGACGCUGAGGUGCGAAAGCGUGGGGAGCAAACAGG
rnacentral:rRNA from 1 species